rnacentral:rRNA from 1 species
UACGGAGGGUGCAAGCGUUAUCCGGAUUCACUGGGCUUAAAGGGUGCGUAGGCGGGCAGAUAAGUCAGUGGUGAAAUCUCCGGGCCUAACUCGGAAACUGCCGUUGAUACUAUUUGUCUUGAAUACUGUGGAGGUAAGCGGAAUAUGUCAUGUAGCGGUGAAAUGCUUAGAGAUGACAUAGAACACCAAUUGCGAAGGCAGCUUACUACACAGCGAUUGACGCUGAGGCACGAAGGCGUGGGGAUCAAACAGG